UACGUAGGUGGCAAGCGUUGUCCGGAUUUACUGGGCGUAAAGGGAGCGUAGGCGGACUUUUAAGUGAGAUGUGAAAUACCCGGGCUCAACUUGGGUGCUGCAUUUCAAACUGGAAGUCUAGAGUGCAGGAGAGGAGAAUGGAAUUCCUAGUGUAGCGGUGAAAUGCGUAGAGAUUAGGAAGAACACCAGUGGCGAAGGCGAUUCUCUGGACUGUAACUGACGCUGAGGCUCGAAAGCGUGGGGAGCAAACAGG
rnacentral:rRNA from 2 species